CUUGUGUGGAGCCCUGGCUGGGCGUGAGGGCCGCGGAGCCUGUUGGGAGGGACUCAGGCGGCUGGUGUCUGUGAACUUGAAAAGCUGUGAGGUGAAACCAGGUGGAAUCUGCAGGCGGUCGCUGGUUGGCUUCUUCAGAGGAGAAAGCUGCUGCGGUUCUCUGCAGAGCAGGUCUCUCAGGUCAGCUAAUGGACGGGACCUAUCAGGAAACUUAUGGUCUAAUCAUCAGUGGGUCAAAUGGGCAGCUGAAACUCUGGGCCUCAUAUGGACACUGUAGGCCUUCUACAGAAACUCUGGCCAGGUCUGAAGCUUGUUCUUGUUAUACGUCUUCAAUGUCUGUCUCAUGUCAAUUUGAUUCAGAAGAACCACAGGGCAGAGGAAGGUCUUUCUCUCUGACAGUAGGUUGGAAAUCACCACUCCAUCUUAAGAAGUAAAAGGUUGAUCAGAUUGAAAAAUCAACAACUCUACUUGGAUCCCUAAGAGAGGGGAGGACACAGGGAAAACCCGCCGCCCCAGGACUGAAGAGACAGAGGAAUACAGAGAGUCAUAGUUUCUUUGAGUCAUUAAAUGCAUCAAACUCCUUUGCAAAUGAGAUAUUCAUACUUGCUCUUCUCUUUCAUAUGUUAGCUCACUGCUCCGUCUAAUCUAACCUGCCCUCGUUAUACUUUCUCAUGGCUUGCUGCAUGAGAGAACGUGUGGGAAAACAUCACUGUUAUACCUUUCCAUUAUGUAUGUCACUCACAGGAGCCCUCUGUUAACAAACUCACAUCUAAUGUAUACAGCCAUUUUGCGUCUUGGACCUCAAAUCAAUUUCCGUUGUAUGUCCUGUUGCUGUGUACCAAGUGGCUUUUAUACAUUAUGUC